rnacentral:misc_RNA from 1 species
GUGAAUCAUCAAAUCUUUGAACGCAUAUUGCACUCUCUGGUAUUCCGGAGAGUAUGCCUAUUUGAGGGUCAUUUGAAAUAAUAUAAAUUUUGAGAUUUUCUUGAAAUCAAAAAUGGGUCGGUCCAGCUUUCGUGUGGUGGUCGCCUAAAAUGCAAGACAAGCUCAUAUCUUUGGUUGCGUGAUACUAUCAGUUACCUCGUGACUUCACGAGUAAUAUUCGAGCGGGGUUAGAAUUGUGCAAGAAAUACAUUUCAUUUAUCUCGAGUUCAAUCUUAAAUUGAAUCAG